GUGCCACGUGUCCCACGUCUCCCAGUGGGAGACGUUGGAUGUCCCCCUGGCCAUUUAAUGAAUUUUGGGUCUUCUUCUUCCUCAUAACACCAAACAGAGAGAGCACACCAAACAGAGAGCACGAAAGGGGUUGCGAUUUUAGGGUUUUCAAGGUUGUGAUUUUGGUGGUGAGAUUUUAGAGAGUACUUUGCAUCAAAACUUCUAUAUCUAUCAAUCACACAUUUGAGAUGGUUAGGUCACUAUUAUAGGGGAAAUGCUGCCCGAUAUUAUUUAGGAUAAUAAACGAUUAGUUGAGAACGGGCAUUACUUGAUUGAACAUGCAAGUCCCAGGCAUUACUUGAGAACGCUAACAAGCACAUCAUAUACAGAGGCACAAAUUGAUGAGUUGCGACAAGAAUGGGCGACAUAUAUGUUGCCGAUAAUCCAAAGUUACCGACCUCGUUGAUAGGUUUUUUUUUUAAUUUUUUAACUCUUUCUUCAUACACAAUGCAAUAUUUGUUCAUUUUGAAUAUUUCUAACAAAUAUUGUAUUUCUUGUAUAUAUCUAACAAAUAUAUUUUUUUAUUUCAAUUUAAAUUAAU